rnacentral:rRNA from 1 species
GAUGAACGCUUUCCUCGUGCCUAAUACAUGCAAGUCGAGCGAACGGACGAGAAGCUUGCUUCUCUGAUGUUAGCGGCGGACGGGUGAGUAACACGUGGAUAACCUACCUAUAAGACUGGGAUAACUUCGGGAAACCGGAGCUAAUACCGGAUGAUAUUUUGAACCGCAUGGUUCAAAAGUGAAAGACGGUCUUGCUGUCACUUAUAGAUGGAUCCGCGCUGCAUUAGCUAGUUGGUAAGGUAACGGCUUACCAAGGCAACGAUGCAUAGCCGACCUGAGAGGGUGAGCGGCCACACUGGAACUGAGACACGGUCCAGACUCCUACGGGAGGCAGCAGUAGGGAAUCUUCCGCAAUGGGCGAAAGCCUGACGGAGCAACGCCGCGUGAGUGAUGAAGGUCUUCGGAUCGUAAAACUCUGUUAUUAGGGAAGAACAUAUGUGUAAGUAACUGUGCACAUCUUGACGGUACCUAAUCAGAAAGCCACGGCUAACUACGUG